rnacentral:rRNA from 1 species
AGAGUUUGAUUAUGGCUCAGGAUGAACGCUAGCGGCAGGCCUAAUACAUGCAAGUCGAACGGUGUCUUCGGACAUAGUGGCGCACGGGUGCGUAACACGUAUGCAACCUACCUUACAUUGGGGGAUAGCCUUUCGAAAGGGAGAUUAAUACCGCAUAAGACAGUAGCUGGGCAUCCAGCAGCUGUUAAAGAUUUAUCGAUGUAAGAUGGGCAUGCGUCCAAUUAGUUAGUUGGCGAGGUAAUGGCUCACCAAGACUUUGAUUGGUAGGGGAACUGAGAGGUCAAUCCCCCACACUGGCACUGAGAUACGGGCCAGACUCCUACGGGAGGCAGCAGUAGGGAAUAUUGGGCAAUGGACGCAAGUCUGACCCAGCCAUGCCGCGUGCAGGAUGAAGGCGUUAUGCGUUGUAAACUGCUUUUAUACAGGAAGAAACGACUCUUGCGAGAGGCAUUGACGGUACUGUAUGAAUAAGCACCGGCUAACUCCGUGCCAGCAGCCGCGGUAAUACGGAGGGUGCAAGCGUUGUCCGGAUUUAUUGGGUUUAAAGGGUGCGCAGGUGGUUUAUUAAGUCAGUGGUGAAAGACGGUCGCUCAA